UCCCUGGAUGACUAGUGGUUAGGCCACAGCGCUCUCACCAUUGCAGCCCAGGUUCCAUUCCCGGCCAGGGAA
rnacentral:tRNA from 1 species